GUGCUCACUUUGGCGGCACAUACGCUAAAGUCGGAAUGAGACAGAGAUUAGCACGGCCGCCGUGCAAGGCUGACACGCAAGUUCGUGAAGCGUUCCAUGUUUUU